GGAAAUAAAACAAAAGGGGAAAAGAUCUUCAAAGCUCCAACCUUUCCAAAAGAAACAUGUUUUUCUGUAAUAAUGUAUUGCACAAUACAGUAUAGAAUGCUUCCCUACUCAUACAAAAAACAUAACCCUUUUUUUUAAAUGUAUGUAAAGGUAAAAACAGGCCAUCCUGAGCCAUGGCUUUGGGGAAAACAAGUGCUGUAUCCACUGUAGCUUCCUGCUGUAGCUGUUUAUCACUGCCUGUUUGACAGGAAGGACGUGUCUCCGCCACAUCGGAUGAGCCUUGACAUUUCCUUGGUAGAGUUACUGGUCGGGGUAAGGGAGAGACAAACGCCAUCCUGCUAAUAUUUGCCUUUUCUAAACAUGCGUCUUGCCCAUAUCAUGUACAUAGUUAAACAAAACAGAAAAAUGGCUGAUGUAAAGUGUUCAGAGACACCGUGGAUGAUAUUCACAAAAAGCAGAGCCCUUAUGCGUUUGCCAUCGGAUAUCUUCAAAGAGACAAGUGUAUCGUGACAGCUGGGGACAAACAACAUUUGUUUUUCGGGACUUAUUGAAGCUCGCACCCAGCGUAACGGGACAUGGUAUUUUGUGUCCCGUCCAAUGAAAUCAGGAGGGAGAAUUUCAGUGGGGGAGCACUGGAUCUGUCCCACACAUCCCACCAUUGUUGUCCAAUGUUUCUGCGAUGGCAGGACAUGGCACAAAAACCUUAACCAAAGAGAAAUCUGAAAAGAAAGUUGUGGCUUUUGGUUGUAUUUUGGUAAUUUCUAAGUGGUCUAAUGGGUUUGGCUUUGUUAUAGUUUAUCUGAGGGCUUACUUGCAGACAAGGAAACACACGCAAAGCAUUAAAGAGUUGAAUGGAACUGUCAUCAUGAUGUUGUUUGAUGCGGAUAGUGUGCGCAAAUGUGGUAUUUUUCUGCAUAAAGCUGUUGCUACAUACCGUGAAUCAACCUGCCAUUACAGUCUGUCUGGGAUGUUUCAUUAAAGCUCUGAAAGUUUCAAGUAGCAAUCAGUAGUCUUUUGUAACGACGGUGCUUCUAUUAUCUUUACAGAAGCAGUAUUCAAUAUGUAGACAACAAGCGCUUUGAUUGCUUGAAUGAAAAUUCUACAUAUUCGAGAAGACUCAGCAAGUACAUUAAACAUGCUCUUCACUCCUGUGCCCUGAUUGUGUGUAUUUUAGACACUUUGGUUAACUGGUGUAUUGAAGCUAUAACCUUAUUAUUUCUCGUCUGUCAAUACACACAGUGUCAAAGCCUAUUAUGGCAGUACUUUGGUCUGUGCUUUUAUUGGUUUCGGCAUGCCAUGGUUGAUUCUGUGUCGAGUUUGGUAGUAUGCAAGUUUGACUCUGAAGUUUGUUUACCUGCUAUGAAGUUCCGGCGGUAUCAGUUUGGUUAGUGGGAUGUGAUCAAGCAGCUGAGGUCUGGUGUGAAUGGACACUUUCCAACAUCAUGAGCAAUGGCAAUUCCUUUCAACAAUUUAGUUAUUAUCAUUUUCAGACACAAUCAUGCAAUUAAAAGUUUGAAUGUGCGCCACCAUGUCUGCUAGCGUUUGAAAGUCCAGGUCAACCCCUCCUGGUGAUUAGCUGUAUGGUCACAGGAGGUAGCUAAGGGGAACGAUGGUCUGGGGUAGUAAUGGAGGAGCUAGACAUUGGGGGGGGGCAGAGGUCAACACCAUAUCACAAUGAUCAUAACAUACAUACAUAAACGUCACAGGGGUACCUCGGAGCUUAUCCCGUUUGAAUUAUGUGUCUCAAAUAGUCCAAAAAACAUGAUCACUUGAUGCAUCUGGUGAUGAAAAUGUUUCAUUUGAUCUAUGUUGUGUGUAUGAGGCCAACUGUGUCACAUUUACAAUGAUCGACAUUUAAAUGUUUGUGAGCGCGGCUGCUACAGGCCCUUUGUUGCUUUGAGUAAAGGCCUGAAGACUGUGGAGAUCUUUAGCUUACACUCAACCUACAUCUUUGCAAACAAACAGUAAUCUGUUCAAAAGCAACGUUGCAAAGAUUGGGUAUCAAAAUGAGCUUUUAGGUUUACUUCAGCUUAACACUGGCAUGUCACUGAAUCGUACAGGAAUAGCUUGGCCUGUACCACGGGGAGACAGUUACUAAUCACACACACACACACACACACACACACACACACACAGACACAGACACACACACACACACACACACACACACACACACACACACACACACACACACACACACACACACACACAGGUUGAUGAGGACCAAACGAGGGGGUUUCUUCAGUGGCAGAAACAGAACAAUUGAAAUGAUGCAUCAAGUUUGACAAUUCUUAGAUAUGUUAUAGACAUGAAUCAGAUCAAUUUGAAACCCGAGCCAUGACCAUUUCCUCUUCUCUUUUUCUGAUCAAACAUUUGAAUAUAUUUGGGAUUUCUUUUGUUGUUACACAAUCUGUUGAGUCCCUUGCUGCAGGAUGA
ensembl:lncRNA